rnacentral:rRNA from 1 species
UGGGGAAUCUUGGACAAUGGGGGCAACCCUGAUCCAGCCAUGCCGCGUGAGUGAUGAAGGCCUUAGGGUCGUAAAGCUCUUUCGCCUGUGAAGAUAAUGACGGUAGCAGGUAAAGAAACCCCGGCUAACUCCGUGCCAGCAGCCGCGGUAAUACGGAGGGGGUUAGCGUUGUUCGGAAUUACUGGGCGUAAAGCGCACGUAGGCGGACCAGAAAGUUGGGGGUGAAAUCCCGGGGGCUCAACCCCCGGAAACUGCCUCCAAAACUAUCGGUCUAGAGUUCGAGAGAGGUGAGUGGAAUUCCGAGUGUAGAGGUGAAAUUCGUAGAUAUUUGGAGGAACACCAGUGGCGAAGGCGGCUCACUGGCUCGAUACUGACGCUGAGGUGCGAAAAGUGUGGGGGAGCAAAACAGGAUUAGAUACCCUGGUAGUCCACACCGUAAAACGAUGAAAUGCCAGUCGUCGGGUAGCAUGCUAUUCGGUGACACACCUAACGGAUUAAAGCAUUCCGCCUGGGGAGUACGGUCGCAAGAUUAAAAACUCAAAAGG